rnacentral:rRNA from 1 species
AUACGAAGGGUGCAAGCGUUACUCGGAAUCACUGGGCGUAAAGCGCGCGCAGGCGGCUUGAUAAGUUGGAUGUGAAAGCCUACGGCUCAACCGUAGAACUGCAUCCAAAACUGUCAGGCUAGAGUGUGGGAGAGGAAGAUGGAAUUAGUUGUGUAGGGGUAAAAUCCGUAGAGAUAACUAGGAAUACCAAAAGCGAAGGCAAUCUUCUGGAACACUACUGACGCUGAGGCGCGAAGGCGUGGGGAGCAAACAGGAUUAGAAACCCUAGUAGUCC